CUUGAGCUCGGCGAUGGGUCCCGCCCGGAAGCUUUGACUUCCGAACCGCCACACGGCUGAUGGCCCCUGCGAACGA
rnacentral:ncRNA from 2 species